GCUGGGUGUGGUGGUGCACACCUGUAAUCCAAGCUACUUGGGAGGCUGAGACAGGAGAAUCACUUGAACCCAGGAGACAGAGGUUGCAGUGAGCUGAGAUGGCACCACUGCACUCCAGCCUGGGCGACAGAGUGAAACUCUGUCUCAA
rnacentral:SRP_RNA from 1 species